UUUUAUUUGAGAGUUUGAUCCUGGCUCAGGAUGAACGCUGGCGGCGUGCCUAACACAUGCAAGUUGAGCGAUUUACUUCGGUAAAGAGCGGCGGACGGGUGAGUAACGCGUGGGUAACCUACCCUGUACACACGGAUAACAUACCGAAAGGUAUGCUAAUACGGGAUAAUAUAUUUGAGAGGCAUCUCUUGAAUAUCAAAGGUGAGCCAG
rnacentral:rRNA from 1 species